CCUACGGGAGGCUGCAGUGGGGAAUAUUGCACAAUGGGCGCAAGCCUGAUGCAGCCAUGCCGCGUGUGUGAAGAAGGCCUUCGGGUUGUAAAGCACUUUCAGCGGGGAGGAAGGCGUUAAGGUUAAUAACCUUGUCGAUUGACGUUACCCGCAGAAGAAGCACCGGCUAACUCCGUGCCAGCAGCCGCGGUAAUACGGAGGGUGCAAGCGUUAAUCGGAAUUACUGGGCGUAAAGCGCACGCAGGCGGUCUGUCAAGGCGGAUGUGAAAUCCCCGGGCUCAACCUGGGAACUGCAUUCGAAACUGGCAGGCUAGAGGCUUGUAGAGGGGGGUAGAAUUCCAGGUGUAGCGGUGAAAUGCGUAGAGAUCUGGAGGAAUACCGGUGGCGAAGGCGGCCCCCUGGACAAAGACUGACGCUCAGGUGCGAAAGCGUGGGGAGCAAACAGGAUUAGAUACCCGGGUAGUC
rnacentral:rRNA from 1 species